rnacentral:tRNA from 1 species
UCCCUGGUGGCUCAGAUGGUAAAGAAUCUGCCUGCAAUGCAGGAGACCCAGGUUCAAUCCCUGGCUCAGGAA